rnacentral:rRNA from 1 species
CCUACGGGAGACAGCAGUGAGGAAUAUUGGUCAAUGGGCGCGAGCCUGAACCAGCCAAGUCGCGUGAGGGAAGACGGUCCUAUGGAUUGUACACCUCUUUUGUCGGGGAGCAAAAGACGCCACGCGUGGCGUUCCGAGAGUACCCGAAGAACAAGCAUCGGCUAACUCCGUGCCAGCAGCCGCGGUAAUAAGGAGGAUGCGAGCGUUAUCCGGUUUUAUUGGGUUUAAAGGGUGCGCAGGCGGAAGAUCAAGUCAGCGGUAAAAUUGAGAGGCUCAACCUCUUCGAGCCGUUGAAACUGGUUUUCUUGAGUGAGUGAGAAGUAUGCGGAAUGCGUGGUGUAGCGGUGAAAUGCAUAGAUAUCACGCAGAACUCCGAUUGCGAAGGCAGCAUACCGGCGCUCAACUGACGCUCAUGCACGAAAGUGUGGGUAUCGAACAGGAUUAGAUACCCUGGUAGUC